rnacentral:rRNA from 1 species
CCUCCCGCAAAAAUCAAUGUAUAGGAGGUCUCGCCUGCCCAGUGACAAGUUAAACGGCCGCGGUAUUUUGACCGUGCGAAGGUAGCGCAAUCACUUGUCUUUUAAAUGAAGACCUGUAUGAAUGGUAGAACGAGGGCUUAACUGUCUCCCUUUUUAAGUCAAUGAAAUUGAUCUGCCCGUGCAGAAGCGGACAUAAUAAUACAAGACGAGAAGACCCUUUGGAGCUUAAGAUCUCAGAUCAAUUAUGUCAAGAACUUAAAUCAAGCUAAACCAAAUAACACCUGAUCCUAGUCUUCAGUUGGGGCGACCGCGGGAGAAAACAAAGCUCCCAUGAGGACUGGACCCACCUCCAGAACCAAGAAAGACAUCUCUAAGUCACAGAACCUCUGACCAUAAAGAUCCGGCCACCCGCCGACCAACGGACCAAGUUACCCUAGGGAUAACAGCGCAAUCCCCUUCUAGAGUCCAUAUCGACAAGGGGGUUUACGACCUCGAUGUUGGAUCAGGACAUCCUAAUGGUGCAGCCGCUAUUAAGGGUUCGUUUGUUCAACGAUUAAAGUC